rnacentral:rRNA from 1 species
UACGAAGGGUGCUAGCGUUGUUCGGAAUUACUGGGCGUAAAGCGCGCGUAGGCGGCGAUUCAAGUCAGGGGUGAAAUCCCGGAGCUUAACUCCGGAACUGCCUUUGAAACUGUGUCGCUGGAGUAUUGGAGGGGAGCGGGGAAUUCCUAAUGUAGAGGUGAAAUUCGUAGAUAUUAGGAGGAACACCGGUGGCGAAGGCGCCGCUCUGGACAAUCACUGACGCUGAGGCGCGAAAGCGUGGGGAUCAAACAGG